AUUGAACGCUGGCGGCAUGCCUUACACAUGCAAGUCGAACGGCAGCACGGGAGCAAUCCUGGUGGCGAGUGGCGAACGGGUGAGUAAUAUAUCGGAACGUGCCCAGUCGUGGGGAUAACGUAGCGAAAGCUACGCUAAUACCGCAUACGAUCUAUGGAUGAAAGCGGGGGAUCGCAAGACCUCGCGCGAUUGGAGCGGCCGAUAUCAGAUUAGGUAGUUGGUGAGGUAAAGGCUCACCAAGCCGACGAUCUGUAGCUGGUCUGAGAGGACGACCAGCCACACUGGGACUGAGACACGGCCCAGACUCCUACGGGAGGCAGCAGUGGGGAAUUUUUGGACAAUGGGCGCAAGCCUGAUCCAGCAAUGCCGCGUGCAGGAUGAAGGCCUUCGGUUGUAAC
rnacentral:rRNA from 1 species